UGGUAUUCAAUGACUCUAAAAAGUAAAAGCUAGAGUAGUAACAGUUAUAGGCUUGAAACUUAAAGAAUUUGGCGGUUUUUUAGUCCAGUUAGAGGAACCUGUCCAGUAAUCGAUGCUCCACGUAGGAUCUUACUUCUUCUUGUAAACAAGUAUCAGUUUGUAUACCGCCACUAUCAGGUAGCCUUUAAAGGGUUUUAUUGAAAUAAGUCCAAUGUAGACUUAAAAAACUAGGUCAAGGUGCAGCUUAUGGAGAAGAUAUGAGAUGGGUUACAUUUUUUUUUUAAAGCAAAACGGAUGAGUUAAUUGAAAUAUUUUUCUGAAGGAGGAUUUAAAAGUAAUUAUUUAUUUUUAAUAUUGUAGGAUGAUUAUGGAUCUAAAUGAUGUA
rnacentral:rRNA from 1 species